rnacentral:rRNA from 1 species
AUACGGAGGACGCGAGCGUUAUCCGGAUUCAUUGGGUUUAAAGGGUGCGCAGGCGGCCGUGCAAGUCAGCGGUGAAAGCCCGGGGCUCAACCCCGGAAGUGCCGUUGAUACUGCAUGGCUGGAAUGCGGUCGAGGCGGGCGGAACGGGGCGUGUAGCGGUGAAAUGCGUAGAUAUGCCACAGAACGCCGAUAGCGGAGGCAGCUCGCCAGGCCUGCAUUGACGCUCGGGCACGAAAGCGUGGGGAUCGAACAGGAUUAGAUACCCUGGUAGUCCACGCCGUAAACGAUGGGCGCUCGUCGUCGGCGGCAGACAGUCGGCGGCCAAGCGAAAGCGAUAAGCGCCCCACCUGGGGAGUACGGUCGCAAGGCUGAAACUCAAAUGAAUUGACGGGG